UACGGAGGGAGCUAGCGUUGUUCGGAAUUACUGGGCGUAAAGCGCACGUAGGCGGCUUUGUAAGUUAGAGGUGAUAGCCUGGAGCUCAACUCCAGAAUUGCCUUUAAGACUGCAUCGCUUGAAUCCAGGAGAGGUGAGUGGAAUUCCGAGUGUAGAGGUGAAAUUCGUAGAUAUUCGGAAGAACACCAGUGGCGAAGGCGUCUCACUGGACUGGUAUUGACGCUGAGGUGCGAAAGCGUGGGGACAAACAGAUUAGAUACCCUG
rnacentral:rRNA from 1 species